UUCAGAGCCUGCAAAGUGUUGUAGUGUAUGCAAAGAGUGGUGUCUCUCACAAAAAUAAAAAUCAGCUGCCUGCAGCUGGUCCAAGUCCGACCACCUCUGUGAUUUAAGGCAGCAGGAGUUUCCUUGCUCAAUCUCUGUCUGAAUGAAAAAAAAAAUCGCCUGUCAUUUUGGUGCCUGUUGGGUAAAAUUCUCCUCACCUGCUCAAAACCCAUCGUACUGCACUCUGCAGGCUCUCAGCAUCCCAGGGCCAUCCUCCCCCAGGCUCAGCCAGAAGGGACCAGUCUUUAGGAGCUCGUUUCGCAGCAGUCCCACCCUGUGGUGCACCAAGACCUGUCUGAGCCCCAGGCACUGUUAAAGGAGGGGGGGACACCGUGCAGGGUGACACAGACAUGGCUUAGUGCAUCUCCUACUGCCCAUUUCUUUGUUAGGAAUGGCAAAGCUUUUGUACUAAUGAAGUGCCACACACCAAACACACCAGGUAACUUGAAAUAUCGCAUGCUACAAAAAUAAUCCAACACUAAAAAAAAAUCUAUUUUCUUCCCUUAUCUUCAUAUUCUGUUUAAUAGCUCUGACUCUCUGAUACUGAUCUGGUUCCCUGCUUUCCUCUCUUCCAUCGCACCCCCGUGUGCUCCUGUGCACACACACACAUACAGGCACGCACUCUGCACCCCAUGGCACUGUCUUGGCCACGUUCCUCUUGUACUCAACCCCCUCGUCCCACCUACAUUUUUAAUCCACGAGACCCCGUUGCUGAGCUGUGGCGAUGUCACAGCAAUCCUUUGUGAGCAGAAGAGGAGCGUGCAGGUGGCUCACACAGCUGGGAAGGAGCCUGGGACGAGGCGGGUGGAAGAGCUCCUCCGGCGCUCCCGUUAUGCCCAGGACAUGUGAGGUCAUUUUCCUCUCCCUCACUCACAAACGAGCUGUCCCAGUUCCCUGGAUUUGGAGAUGUACACAUAGGCAACUUCCAUGUAGCACCAAGAUUUCUUCUAGGGACUAG
ensembl:lncRNA